rnacentral:rRNA from 1 species
AACCAGCUCUUCAAGUGGUCGGGAAUAUUAUUGGGCUUAAAGUGUCCGUAGCCGGUUUGAUAAGUUCCUGGUUAAAUCUGGCAGCUUAACUGUCAGUUGGCUAGGAAUACUAUCUUACAAGAGGGUGGGAAAGGUCUGAGGUACUCCAGGGGUAGCGGUGAAAUGCUAUAAUCCUUGGGGGACCACCAGUGGCGAAGGCGUCAGACUGGAACACGCCUGACGGUGAGGGACGAAAGCCAGGGGGAGCGAACGGGAUUAGAUACCCCGGUAGUCCUGGCUGUAAACGAUGCGUGCUAGGUGUUGGUAGGGCUAUGAGCCGUAUCUGUGCCGUGGGGAAACUGUUAAGCGCGCCGCCUGGGAAGUACGCUCGCAAGGGUGAAACUUAAAGGAAUUGGCGGGGGAGCACCACAAGGGGUGAAGCCUGCGGUUC